AUUGAACGCUGGCGGCAGGCCUAACACAUGCAAGUCGAGCGGAUGAAGGGAGCUUGCUCCUGGAUUCAGCGGCGGACGGGUGAGUAAUGCCUAGGAAUCUGCCUGUUAGUGGGGGAUAACGUCCGGAAACGGGCGCUAAUACCGCAUACGUCCUGAGUGAGAAAGUGGGGGAUCUUCGGACCUCACGCUAUCAGAUGAGCCUAGGUCGGAUUAGCUAGUUGGUGGGGUAAAGGCCUACCAAGGCGACGAUCCGUAACUGGUCUGAGAGGAUGAUCAGUCACACUGGAACUGAGACACGGUCCAGACUCCUACGGGAGGCAGCAGUGGGGAAUAUUGGACAAUGGGCGAAAGCCUGAUCCAGCCAUGCCGCGUGUGUGAAGAAGGUCUUCGGAUUGUAAAGCACUUUAAGUUGGGAGGAAGGGCAGUAAGUUAAUACCUUGCUGUUUUGACGUUACCAACAGAAUAAGCACCGGCUAACUUCGUG
rnacentral:rRNA from 1 species